UUUAAGUAGACGUCUCGACGGAAGAAAACAAUUAAACGUCAGUUUGGAUAAAACGUGAGACAAUCGAGUGGCAUCGCACGUCCGGCGACGUGGACAAGGAAAGUGAAAAAUCAGUUUCUCCGAGUGUACGUCUCGAGCGAUCGUUUCGCAAAAUAUUUCAACUUCGACAAUUGCAUUAUCGCGCGUAGGAGCACCGAGACGUGACGCCGCGGAUCGAUGGAUUUUUCGACUUCUGCCCAUCCCGAAUCGGACUUCUCCAAGGACACCUGCGCACAUAUAAAAGUGCAAGGUCGACGGUUUCCCUACUUUCGAGAGCGAUGGACGCCUCUUAAUAUUCCGAGACAUUGGCUCCACUCUUACUUAAGGCACUCUGCUCGUAACGCGUUGCAUCAUCGGACCUCGAACUCGGAUAAGAAAUUCUUUUUCACCAAGGACCAAUUAUGAUUUAUCUGGAGCAGGAGAGCCUCACCUCGAUCAGUAUCAUUUACACAAACAUACCCUACAAUGUUUCCGUGAACGGUGGAGCACUAACAGAGAAGCUGGAUUUGGACGAUGACCAUAAUGAUAGGUUCGGUCCUUGGGAUUUCUCCAAUAUGGUGGCUGUUAGCAUAUGCUAGCCUAUUGUUGCUCCUAUCGCCACUGGUCUUAGUGACGAUAGUGUUCCUGCCAAACUUCCCGAUUUUGUUACUCAGGAGGAUGUGCUACAUACCUAUAGAGCCGAUUUAGGUGGAACCGAGGAAGCGAGAUCUCACAGCCCUAGUUUUAAUGUUAUCUGAUAAGAGUGUUACAUUUAUUAUGUAUUCCGAGAAAGUGCGUAGAAGUAGUCAAAAGAAGAGCAAUAAGUCGUAGACGAUCUGGAAACUUGAGUAAAUAAUUAUGUCUCGAAUUACUACUUCACUGAAGUUAUACGGAAACCGGUGCCACUCAAGGUGUGCGCGAAUUUUUUAAAUAAUUAUUAACUUACUCCCUGGAACUAUGAGAAGGGGAUUUUUUUUCUAUCUAAGCCCGAAAAGACUACGUCACUGAGUUUUACAUUGCGUUACAUUUAAUUUAAUGUCCGAAUAUUAAGGUUUACGUAUCACAACGAAUCCGCUCCCAUGUUCCUCUUUUUAUACCAUAUUUUUUACUUUUAUACUUUUCACUCAGCGUUAUUUUCACGUAGCCUCCCCGUAUCUUAGAUGUACUGGAAAUCGUAGCCUUCGUCAUAGAAACAUUUUUAAACUAAAUCAUGAGACUUCGCCUCGUGAUACAAUCGUCGUUAUUAAGGCGUCUUUUAUGAUAAGACAUAUCUGAAAAUAUAUUCUCAUGUAAAACCGAA